AUUAAAAAUGAGUUUGUAAUCUUGGUUACUAGAUAAUAGCAUUUAUUAAACGCUAAGAUAAAAAUUCCCUAAGCGGGAAUCUAAAAUCACCUAGUCCGCCAACACUUAACCAAAUUAUUCACUUAAGCGGCAAAAUAAUAGCUUUUUAUCGAAAAACUUCUUAGAUCUAAAAUAAUUUCUCUUUUUCUUAAAAAAACCUCUGAGAUCUAAAAAUCUCAUACCCACGAACUGAAUCUCGUCCUAGCCAGAGCAAUUGUCCCUUCCCUUGCUCUAUCCCUCUCUCGUCCUCCCUCUCUGUCAUUUUUUUGUGUCUAAAAACUUUGGCGGUUGUACGUAGACCAUGUGUUUGAUGAAAUUACUGCGACGGCGCUGUGGUUGGAUUUUGAAAGGGGAACUAUGGGUCAGAUCUUCAGUUUUCAUCAGAUCGUUAGCUAAAACGCCGUUUGUUGUCUCCCUCGUUCGUGCGUUCAAUUUUCUUCUCAGAUCUUCACAUCGUUUUGGCUUCAUCUCUAAACGUUGGGUCUGUGAAGCCUGGAGAUUCGACUAGUUCUCCCGAGAAUCAAUUUCAAGUAGCUCAAUCCAGUCCUCUUUCUCAAGGUUAAUUCCCUGUUAACUGCUUAUAGUUCGUCUCUUAGUUUCACCAUGUGGAUGAACGAAGAUAAACCUGCAGAUUUUUUUCUCUGCUCUCAUCACAAGUCAUUUGAUAUUAACUUCAUUACACUCAUGAAUACAAUUUUUUUUAAUGAACUUAUGUUGUUCGACAUAAUGCCUCAAUGAGAAUUCUUUUUCUGAUUAUAGUUGUUUUAUGAAUUAAACUUAUUCGUUUAUGAGAAGGAAGCUAAGGCGAUGCUAAUGAUAGAAAAUUUGAGGGUCUUGAAACAUAUUUUAAAGGCCAACGAAGAAAGGAGUGAAGGUCGCUGCCAAGAAAAAGAUGGUAUGACCUAGAUGAUUUGUUUUUUUUUUUUCUAAUUUGUAGUAAGUUUUCGAACAUUCAAUUAUUGUGUGUUUCUAUUUUAAAUGUUGAGUUUUUUUUUUCCUGUGCUUUGCUUGAUUUUGAUGCAAACUUGAUAUUUCGAUUAACACUUUUCUGGAUGUGAAGGAGUUCGAUAAGAGAGCAAGUUUUGGCUUCAUUGUUGCCGAAUUCAACAGGGACUUGUUAUUUUUCAGUCUCAGGAGAAGCUAAUUUGAAUGUAACUAUAUCCUUUGACAAGUUUAUGCUCUAACUAGCUAGUGUGCAGUUUUUUUUUUUUUACUUAAUUAAACUCCUAACUAGGUACAGAGUGCAAAAAUAUAUUUCUUUUCUUGACCAACCAUAAUAUUUACUUUGCAGGAGCAUCGAUCAGAGUUGGAAAACUAGACCAACCAUAAUUUUUGUUGAAUUAUCAAUCUCAGGCCAUGAAAGGUUCUUUCUAUGACUUCUAAGUAUCUCUAAAAACGUUUGUUGAUGCUUCCGAAGAGUUAAAGCUCUUAGAUGAUAAUGGAGAGCUUGGAAAUAAACUCAUUGUCUGUCAUUUAUAUACUACUUUCUAAGUUUGAGUUUAAUUUUCCUAAAGGUCUUGGUUUUGCUCAUUUAUGUUUGUUUAGUACAUACAAGUGAGAAGGAAGGUGUUUAGGAGAAGGAGCUUGCAUGUGGCUGCAGGAGCUUAAGUGCCUAUGGACGGGAGUUCUAAUAGGAACAAUUGAUGAGGAGGUGAAUAGAUAGAGGGGAAGAAAUUGAAGAGAUUGAAGUUUGUCUCUUUCCUUAUGAUGUUAGUAUAAGACUUGGUGUUAUGUAAGACUUGUUUGACUAAUUAGUUAAUGUAAUAUUAUUUGUUGAUGAUUUAUAAAAUAGAAAAGU